rnacentral:lncRNA from 1 species
GUUGGGACUUUUCGAUCAGGGUUACAUAUCGAUGAAUUUUGAUGCCCGAUUGCCCAUCGAAUUUAGACUCAGUAUUUAUGUGAGAUUUAAUUAGUGAUUUGAUCAUUAAUUAACUUAAUUUUAUUGAGUAAUUAUUUUUGGAUCAAGUCCAAUUGAAUUGGAUUCAGUUGGGUUUGAUCCGAUUUGGUUAAGAGUUGACCUAAUCGUCGAGAUGGUUUGGUCUCUGAUUUGAUCAGGGGUUGGGCUUAGUCAAUUCCUGAUUUGAUUAAAAUUUUAUUGAGCCUAAUUAAGUCUAAUUAAGUUGGGUUUAAAUUAGUCUAAUUGGACCUAACUUAUUUGGUUCAAUUAGGUUGGUUUAAAUAAUUAGACCACCUUGACCCAAUCUCCAUGCGCCACCUCA